ensembl:lncRNA
ACCGCCUUCUGGAGUUCUCCGCGAUGCUGCCACGGACACCCCCGCACAAGGGACAUCUCAACACAGGGCCAUUUUCGCUCCCCACGCUGCUCAGGCUGAGUUGAAGAUCCCUCUCCUUUGCCGGGCGCCAAGAAAGAUGCACAGGCAGUAAGUACCGCGAUGUCGCUGUGAGCGCGAAAGUCCCGUCUCCCAGUGGCCACCGGAGUCAGAUCCGGAGGGGACACUGAGGAAGGAUCCAGGGUGUCCUCAAGGAAAGGCCGGCUGAAGGAUGUGUGCGUGGUCAGGAUGUGGUCAGCGUCCCGCUAACAGCGAUUUUUGUGGGCAGGCCCCUUGUUCUCGCCCAGCAGAGAUGUGCAGGCGUGGGGUCGGGCAGAGACCCAAGGGGAGCACCCGGAAAUGCCAUCCCUCACCUCACACCCGGUGUGAAGUGAGACUACAGCAGUUUGCACCCUUACUCCCACUGCAGAGAGCCUGGAACCCCGCUUUCUUUCCGCGAUAUCCAGAGGGGUGAUGUGGUCAGUUUAGAAGAUCCGAAUGUGUAUCCGAAUCGGCAAAAAUUCAUCCCAUUGCAGAUGUCUGUGAUUAUAAUGAAAAGAGAGCAGGGCUCCAUUUAUAAGAAAUGCGGAUGAUGAAACACAAAAGAUCUUUAACUUGAGAAAAGUGAGUGCCCUAAUUUUAAACUCAAUCUCUCCUCUACUUAUUUGCUUUCUUUUGCCAGGGGGAAAGCUGGCAUGGUUUUUCUCCUGUGUGUGAAAUGAGCAGCCCUUGUGGGAGAAAGAAACACGCGCUUCAGACUCAAGCAGACCUAGUGUAAAUCCUUUGCGUUGGCCCAUCAUUUUAUAGCUGGGUGAUAUUCAGAACGUUUACCUAACUCCCAGGAUAUUUGAGAAGUCCCUUAACCCGCCCUCUGAAAAAUAGGAUCCGGCCUGGGGAGGAGGACUGCCUGGUUUCUGGGUGGAUCUCUCCAUCCUAGAGGGAGCCUGGCGGGCAGCCCAGAAUAACCAGCUGAGGCCAGAGUCUCACAGGUGGGCCCUGGGCACAUGGUUGGUGUCCAGGCUGAUAGAGAGGCAGUAGCCCCAGCAUCAGACUCACUCACAUCCCUAUUUGCGGGCAAAGAGAGGUUACUUUAACAAUCUCUGAGAGUUCCAUCAUGGCUCAGUGGUGACGAACCCAGCUAGUAUCCAUGAGGACACAGAUUCAAUCCCUGGCCUCGCUCAGUGGGUUAAAGGAUCAGCUGUGGCUGCGGUGGAGGCCAGCAGCUACAGCUCCAAUUUGAUCCCUAGCCUGGGAACUUCCAUGUGCCACAGGUGCGGCCCUAAAAAAGACAGAAAAAGAACAAAACACACAUUCUCAGCAAAUUUGCUAUGAGUUUCCAUCUGGCUUUGAAGUCAUGAAUCCCUACCCUUCAGCCCUUGCUUUUAUUUCUGUCAUUCUACCUGGGCCAACAGUCUCCUUCAUAAAGAGAAAAGGCAUCUCCUUUUCAUGACUUUAGGUAGUUUGUCUUUCAGCCAGGCUGUGGCUCCCUGACACAGUCUCACUGAGCUUCUUUAAGGGCAAUUCUUUGAGUUCAGCUUUAGAGUCAUAUCAGAUAAGAGGCCGCCAACAUGUAGACGAGGAAAUAGACCCAACCAUAAUUUCAUAAACACUUGUUGUCUCCUCUAAGGAUGCUGAACCAAAAUCUGUACUUUCACAAGAUCCCAAAUUGAUUUACAGCCACAUUAAAGUCUGAGAAGCAUCUGACAAUAGAACAGUAGUUCCCAGAGCUCUCUCCCCACACAUGUCUCCAAUAUUGGUCAAGCUAUGACUCAGAGAAGGUAUUUACAUAUCGGAUGUUGCAGAAGCAUAAAAUGGAAAUUUGCUGCCCUGCCCCACCACGCAUACACAGACACACAAAUACACGCACAUACACACACAGGUUUUUCUUCUGCUAUGCCUUUGGGGAGCAUCCCCUUCUCUGAGAAACUCAUUAGCCCAGUUAAUUCAAGACAGUGGAUUUUAAACCUGGCUCUGCUUUUUUUCUGCCUCUUUGUGUAAUAUUUCGAAAUUCCAGGGUGCCUACUUUUAAAACUUAUAUUGUUUUCAGUUAUGUAUUCAAUAGUACUGUUUUAUACUGUGACCAGUGUCCCGCAGUCAUAAGUCCUCUUCAAAAGCAGUGUAAUUUGGAGUCCCAGCGGUUAACGAACUUGACUAGUACCCAUGAGGACCAGGGUUCGACCCCUGGCCUCGCUCAGUGGGUUCAGGAUCGGGCGUUGCUGUGAGCUGUGGUAUAGGUGGCAGAUGAGGCUCGAAUCUGGAGUUGCUGUGGCUGUGGUGUAGGCCGGCGGCUACAGUUCCACUUGAACCCCCAGCCUGGGAAUCUCCAUAUGCCACUGGUGCGGCCCUAGAAAGACAAAACAAAACAAAAGCAGAGGGUCUUAAAGCUAGCGUUUAAUCAGGUUCACGAUCCUUUAUCCAUAAUACCAAAGGCAAGAGGCUUCAAAAAACUGAAAUUCUUUUGUAACUAAUUUGAGGACAGAACUUGACCUACAGUGAGGUGAGGUUAUAUAGUUUCUUCAUUUAUUUCACUUAGUGUAAAUACACACUGUUUUGAUGCAGAAAUAUUAACGUAUUUAAUGAGCACGUGUUGCUACAGAGCUUACUGGGCAUCUUACAUAGUAGUGAAUACAUGCACAAUAUUACUUUUCUAAAAUCCAAAAUAUUCUGAAUCCCUAGGCCUAAGGGCUUUGGAUAACAAAUGGUGGAUCAGUAUUUUAUCUGCUGGUUUAUUUUAUCCUGACCUUGGUAUUGGACAUUUCAGUAGCUACCUAUAAAGUUUUAUGAGGCAGUUUUAUUGCCAAGAUUUAACUUAAUACUUUAUACUCUAGAAGUAUUAGAAUAGGCUGUAUCGCCAUGGUUCCUAGCAUGCAAUGCUAUAUCCUGUCACAUGUAACCCAAUUAUUCUGUGGUAGUUGAGUAGUACAUAGGAACACAGGUUCAAUCAAAUGAUCUAACAAUAACCUAGUAUUUCUUUUCUUGCUUCAGGAAACUUGUAUUUCAUGUCUAUUUUGGAAAGAGUUUGAUGUUAAAAAAAAAAAAUAGAAUCUGUCUCAAAAAAGAGUCUUAGAGGAGUUUCCGUGGUGCAGCAGGUUAAGGAUUUGGUGUUAUCUCUAUAGCAGUGUAAGUUCGAUCCCUGGCCCAGCACAGUGGGUUAAGAAUCUGGCCUUGCCUCAGCUGAGGUAUAGCUGAAGCUGUGGCUGGGAUUAGAUCUCUGUUCCAGGAACUUGUGUAUGCUGUGGGUGUGGCCAAAAAAAAAAAAGAGAGAGAGAGAGAGAGAGAGUCUUAGAGGUUUUCAAGCUUCCACAUAUGGUUGUAACUCCAUUAGCAAUAGCUCUGAGAGCUAGAAUUAAGACUCUUCUUUUUUUUUCCAGCAUGCAUAUAUAAUUUGGAUAAGGAAAUUUAUACUGCAGUUCAACCAACUACCAAACCUAUUCCAACUUUGUAACACAAUAUUGUUUUACCAUCAAAAUUUUCUACCCACUCCUGUCCUGAAAACAUGCCUUUUGUUUUUUGUUGAUUUUUUUAAGCAUUUAAUUUUAUGACCAUGCCCAUGCCACAUGGAAAUUCGUGGGCCAGGGAUCAAAUCUGAGUCACAGCUGCAACCUAUGCCACAGCUGCAGCAACACCAGAACCUUUAACCCACUGCACCAGGCCAGGAAUUGAACCCACACUUCUGCAGCAACCUGAGCUGCUGCAGUCAGAUUCUUAACCCACUGCACCAUAGCAGGAACCUCAUGAAAAUGUUUUUAGGUGAUUAUGCUCUAUAGAGAAAUAGAAUAUAAGUAACUUGUUGGGUUUUCCCACAUGAUGGUUUUUUUUUUUUUUAAGUGUACAGUGGUUUUUGGUAUAUUCAUAGAACUGUGCAACCAUCACCCACAAUCCAUUUUAGUAUUUUCAUAUUCUUUAUGUGUUAUAGAUACAAGUCUCAUAUCUGACGUCUGAACAUUUUUUUAAUUUUAUUGGAAUAUGGUUGAUUACAAAGUUGUGUCAAUUUCAGAGGUACUCCAAAGUAAAUCAGUGACACAUCCAUGUAAUCCAUAUACAUAUCAGAUGUCAAAACAGCAACCCAAAAAGAAACCUUUUACUGCUUAAAGACUCUUCUCAAAUAGUCUUAGGAUGAAGGCUCACGGGAACAGUGACUUGUACAAGUGUGAGAAAGGGCUGCUUUGCACUGACGUCAACACAGCCAGCUUCAAGCCAAUGUCAAUUGUUAAUCAUUAAGCAAAAUCGCAGUAUUUGCUGCAAUACUUUUCUCACUUGAAUCCAGCAUCCCGUUAUGAGAAUGAAAGGUAGAAAGAAUGAAAAAUUCCAGAGGCCAGUAGUGCCCACAGGCCAGGCACUCUGCUAGUCAUUUUGCAUGAGGCUCUGUGCCAUGCUCUCCGGCGACUGGGCACUAACACGCCCUUCCUGUGUUGCCAAAUAAGACCCCCCACCUUGAGGUAACAGCCUUUCCAGUUCCGAGUCAGUUAAAGCCACAUCUCUCUGACUCCAAAAACUACGAUCUUUGUGCCAUAUUGAACAGUUUCGCCAUGAUUAGGAAAACCAUCCUUGUACAUUCCUCAUCAGGGAUACAUUUUCCAUCCGAAUGGCUGUUCUGCUCAUGAGGGGCAUAUUUUCUCUUUGAAAACUUGCCUGAUGAAAUUCACCCCAUCACCAGGUGGCAAUGGCUAUUGGCUCCUCUUGAAAGGGCCCAGUUCAAGGUCUGGUACACAGAAAAUGCCCAAUAAAUAAUAUUCCCCUUUACAUGUAUGCUUGAUAAGACUCUGUGUAAACCCCAGCUCACUAUUUUCCGUUAUGAUUUAUGCGAACACCCCUGCCUUUGACCUCAGGGGGCAACUGAAUUUUGAUUUGCAGGCAUUAAUAAGUGUAAAUCCCACUGGCUCUUGGGGAAAUGAGAAGCAGCAAUUUUAGUAUCCUGAGAUCAGAGUCUUGCACCCAGCAGAGUAGUCAGUAUGGCUGGCUUCCCAGUUACCCGGUAAUUAUGAACCAACUCUCAGGCCAACCAGACUUGUCCACUGGUGCUCUCAAAGUCGCAUCACUACGAUCCAGCUUCGUUGUUGGCUGGCAAUUAAAAAGUUACCAGCUGUGAGAGAACAUAGCUGAGAUAUGGUGAGAGUUGACUCAAGGUUGCAGACAUGGCCAGGGGUACCUUUGCAGGAGCAGCAGGUGUGGUUGGCCCUGAGACUCACGAAGAUGGGUGGUGAUGGGGGAACAGAGGGUUUUAAGAUAGGCUUUCUUCUCUCUUAAUGGCAAUAUUGCCAGCUGGGGAUGGAACUAGCUGACUUACCUACCACCACUUGGCUAACUUCCAGCUGAACAAACUUAGUCUCCUGCUAACUAGCCACAAGGCUGGACUUUUCAUACUUACGGCCUCUAAAAAUAUCACAAAGAAUAGAGAAGGUUGUAACUUAUUUAAACAUGAGUUUAUUGUCAUCAUUCAAGUAAUGUAUAGUCAUUGUAGAAAAAUUUUUAAAUGCAAAUAUAUAUAUAUAUAUAUAUAUAUAUGAAAAAAUACCAUUCAAAGCACUGCAAAGUGGUCAACACUACUGGGUAUUAGCUUGUGAGCUUUCUUAUAAAAGUGUGCAUCCUAUCUUGGUUUUGAAAUUUAACACAUCAGAAGUAUUGUCCAGUGUACUAACGUCGUUUUUAUAGCUAUGCAAUCUUCUACCAUUUAGGCAGCUCAUAUUUAGAGUCUGCCACUGCUGGAAAAUAACACAGCCGAUGAACGAGUUUGAAAAUUUCUCUUCAUCUAACCAUGUCCAAAUGUGGAGACGCUCUGUUUUGUGACCUGGUAAUGAGCAAAACCAAUCAGCACAGGGAGUUUUGAGUCAGCCCAGUGUUCGGAGAAGCUGACCCCCAAUGCCAGUUUAUAAUCAUCAUGUAAAUCAUGCGGUGAAAUUGGAAAUAAGACCCAGCCUUAUGGUCGGAUCCUCCAGAAAGGCCAGAUUAGCAGUGGCCUGCAUAUUCUAGUUUACGCAUACCUGACAUCUCCCCACAAAUAAGAUAUGGAAAGAGAGAAAAGUCAACUUCAUGAAAACCUUUGUUUAUAUCCAACUGCACCUGAUAACCAAAAAGGUGAAAAUAUUUCCAAAAGUUUGGGAUGGAUAUGAUUUGAGGCCAAUAUCAGGACUUUCUGGAAGAUGAAUCCCGUGGAAAGAGAGAAAGAGAUUUCUUGAAAGCCUGGCUGGCUGGGAAGUUCAGAAUUCCCGGAGAAAGGCAUCCAGGUUGCAAACUAGGGCAAAGGAGCUUUCUUAAAGGCUAAAUAUCAAGUAGAAAAGUCUGAGCAUCUCCUGCUUGAUUCUCUGUUCUCAACUUCAGGUCUUCCCUAUUAUUAUUUUGGGGAGGGGAUGUACUUUUAAGGUAUGUAUUUUAGAAACUUAAAAAUAAUUCUGUUGAAUUAAUCCAAAAAAACAGAGGUAUUAAAGUCCAACACUUACUUGGCUCCCAUGGUGAGGAGGCCAAAUUAAGAAGGUGAGGGUUAAAAAAAAUCUAAAUAGGGAGUUCCAUUGUGGCUCAGUGGUAAUGAACCUGACUAGUAUCCAUGAGGACACAGGUUCGAUCCCUGGCCUCGCUCAGUGGGUUAAGGAUCCAGCAUUGCCAUGAGCUGUGCAGUAGGUCACAGAUGCGGCUGGGAUCUGGUGUUGCUGUGGCUGUGGUGUAGGCCAGUAUCUACAGCUUCAGUUCGACCCCUAACCUGGGCAUUUCCAUACGCUGCAGGUGCAGCCCUAAAAAGAAAAAAAAAAA